UGUCAGCUGCACGUUCUUCCCAGGCCGUGAGCCCUGCACUGAGUACGGAAUAGGGUCUUGGGACCCUGACCUCGCAGACCGGACGAGGGCGCCCGAUGAUGGAGUCCAGGUUGAGCUUCUCGCUGUCGGACAUGGCGGCGCCGCCGCUCCGGCCCACCAGCUCCGGGCCCUCUCCUGCCUCCCGCCCUCUUACAGCCUCCUUCCGGCCUGGCUCUCCUUCCGCCCUCCCCAGCCCGCCCCC
rnacentral:lncRNA from 1 species